GGUCUUGUAGUUCAAUUGGUAGAACGCCCUAGAGAACGUGUCAGUGAUCAGUAGGCUCUUGGAGCGAUAAUACACGGGGCUGGCACGAUCUCUUGGGAGGUGUCUGUUCGAAUCAGACCUCGGCCA